UGCGUAGGGGGCAAGCGUUGUCCGGAUUUAUUGGGCGUAAAGAGCGUGUAGGCGGCUUGUCAAGUCCGCUGUGAAAACUCGAGGCUUAACCUCGAGACGUCGGUGGAAACUGCUUGGCUAGAGUCCGGAAGAGGAGAGUGGAAUUCCUGGUGUAGCGGUGAAAUGCGCAGAUAUCAGGAAGAACACCCGUGGCUAAGGCGGCUCUCUGGACAGUUCCUGACACUGAGGCACGAAGGCCAGGGGAGCAAACGGG
rnacentral:rRNA from 1 species